rnacentral:rRNA from 1 species
UACGGAAGGGGCAAGCGUUGUUCGGAAUCAUUGGGCGUAAAGGGCGCGUAGGUGGCUCUGUGUGUCUACCGUGAAAGCGUACGGCUCAACCGUAUUUUGUCGGUAGAAACUGCAGGACUUGAGGCUGGGAGGGGCUGGUGGAAUUCCCUGUGUAGCGGCGAAAUGCGUAGAGAUGGGGGAGAACACUCGUGGCGAAGGCGGCCAGCUAGACCAGUUCUGACACUGAGGCGCGACAGCGUGGGGAGCAAACAGG